CUAGUGCUUAGAACAGUGCUUGGCACAUAGUAUUCACUUUAAAAAUACCAUCACUGUUAUUCAUUUGCCUAAAAUUCUUUACGUAUCUCCAGCAGGAACUGUCAUACUGACAGAACGCAUGGUACUUUAGUGGAGAACCACUUCUUUUUCCUUCAGUUCUUCCAGGAUAAUCACUGACUAAAUGUGAACUUGCUAUACUAAAUAAAUGAGAUUGAUAUAAAUAUUUUUUUUUAUCCCCUUGUCCACUUACAGCCACUAAGAUGUGAGAUAACGUACUCGACUUUAAUGUGGCCCCAACCUACUCCACACCCCCGGAGGUCAAAGGCUACCCAGUGGGAGAGGAACCUGGGAAGAUGGCAGAGGUCCCAGGAUCCAG